rnacentral:rRNA from 1 species
AAUUAAGUGGAUUAGUGGCGGACGGGUGAGUAACGCGUGAGUAACCUGCCUUAGAGAUGGGGAUAGCCUCUGGAAACGGAGAAUAAUACCCAAUGAUACCAAGCUAUCGCAUGGUAGCCUGGUCAAAGAUUUAUCGCUCUAAGAUGGACUUGCGUCUGAUUAGCUAGUUGGUGAGAUAAUGGCUCACCAAGGCAACGAUCAGUAGCCGGCUUGAGAGAGUGUACGGCCACAUUGGGACUGAGACACGGCCCAGACUCCUACGGGAGGCAGCAGUGGGGAAUUUUGCACAAUGGGGGAAACCCUGAUGCAGCGACGCCGCGUGAUUUAGAAGGCCUUCGGGUUGUAAAAAUCUUUUGUAUAGGGAGAAAAUGACAGUACUAUACGAAUAAGGACCGGCUAAUUACGUGCCAGCAGCCGCGGUAAUACGUAAGGUCCGAGCGUUGUCCGGAAUCAUUGGGCGUAAAGGGUACGUAGGCGGGUAAGCAAGUUAGAAGUGAGAUCCUAUAGCUCAACUAUAGUAAGCUUUUAAAACCGCUCAUCUUGAGGUAUGGAAGGGAAAGUGGAAUUCCUAGUGUAGCGGUGAAAUGCGCAGAUAUUAGGAGGAAUACCGGUGGCGAAGGCGACUUUCUGGCCAUAACCUGACGCUGAGGUACGAAAGCGUGGGUAGCAAACAGGAUUAGAUACCCUGGUAGUCCACGCCGUAAACGAUGAGUGUUAGGUGUCUGGAGUAAAUCUGGGUGCCGCAGCUACGCAUUAAACACUCCGCCUGGGGAGUACGCACGC